GACGAACGCUGGCGGCGCGCUUAACACAUGCAAGUCGAACGGAAAGGCCUGCUUUCCCUUGUGGAUUGCGGGUACUCGAGUGGCGAACGGGUGAGUAACACGUGAGUGAUCUGCCCCCAACUUGGGUAUAAGCCUGGGAAACUGGGUCUAAUUCCCGAUAGGACUGCAGGGUGGUGCCUGUGGUGGAAAACGAUUUUCUAGUGGUUGGGGAUGAGCUCGCGGCCUAUCAGCUUGUUGGUGGGGUAAUGGCCUACCAAGGCGGCGACGGGUAGCCGGCCUGAGAGGGUGGACGGCCACAUUGGGACUGGGAUACGGCCCAGACUGCUACGGGAGGCAGCAGUGGGGAAUAUUGCACAAUGGGCGGAAGCCUGAUGCAGCGACGCCGCGUGGGGGAUGACGGCCUUCGGGUUGUAAACUCCUUUCGACCGCGAGGAAGCCACCUGGUUGGAAGGGUGGUGACGGUAGUGGUAGAAGAAGCACCGGCUAACUACGUG
rnacentral:rRNA from 1 species